rnacentral:rRNA from 1 species
ACUCCUACGGGAGGCAGCAGCUAAGAAUCUUCCGCAAUGGGCGAAAGCCUGACGGAGCGACGCCGCGUGAACGAAGAAGGCCGUGAGGUUGUAAAGUUCUUUUCGGGAGGGGGAAUGACCGUGGCAGGGAAUGGCCGCGGGAUGACGUGAAUCCCGGAAUAAGCCCCGGCUAACUACGUGCCAGCAGCCGCGGUAAUA